rnacentral:rRNA from 1 species
CCUACGGGGGGCAGCAGUGGGGAAUAUUGGGCAAUGGGCGAGAGGCUGAACCAGCCAAGUCGCGUGAGGGAAGACGGCCCUACGGGUUGUAAACCUCUUUUGCCGGGGAGCAAAGCGAGUCACGUGUGACUCAUUGAGAGUACCCGAAGAAAAAGCAUCGGCUAACUCCGUGCCAGCAGCCGCGGUAAUACGGAGGAUGCGAGCGUUAUCCGGAUUUAUUGGGUUUAAAGGGUGCGCAGGCGGAGGUGCAAGUCCGCGGUCAAAUUGCGGGGCUCAACCCCGUACUGCCGUUGAAACUGCAGCCCUUGAGUGCGCGAGAGGUAUGCGGAAUGCGUGGUGUAGCGGUGAAAUGCAUAGAUAUCACGCAGAACUCCGAUUGCGAAGGCAGCAUACCGGCGCGCAACUGACGCUCAUGCACGAAAGCGUGGGGAUCGAACAGGAUUAGAUACCCCAGUAGUC